GGUGAACGCUGGCGGCGUGCUUAAGACAUGCAAGUCGAACGGCAGUCUUCGGACUGUAGUGGCGCACGGGUGAGUAACGCGUAACUGACCUACCCCAAAGUCGCGGAUAACGAUUCGAAAGAAUCGCUAAUACGUGAUGUGAUGUCAGAUUGUGUUCUGCCAGUAAAGAUUGAUUGCUUUGGGAUGGGGUUGCGUUCCAUCAGCUAGUUGGUGGGGGAAAGGCCCACGAAGGCGACGACGGAUAGCCGGCCUGAGAGGGUGGCCGGCCACAGGGGCACUGAGACACGGGUCCAACUCCUACGGGAGGCAGCAGUUAGGAAUCUUCCACAAUGGGCGAAAGCCUGAUGGAGCGACGCCGCGUGAGGGAUGAAGGUCUUCGGAUCGUAAACCUCUGAAUCAGGGACGAAAGACACUUCGGUGGGAUGACGGUACCUGAGUAAUAGCACCGGCUAACUCCGUGCCAGCCGCCGCCGUAAUAC
rnacentral:rRNA from 1 species